rnacentral:lncRNA from 1 species
GCGGGACCUUUAGCCUGUCACUGCUCAGUCUUCUGGAUUCAGUCCCUUUUUCCAGGGGUACGUAUGGGGGUCUACGUACCCCUUUGCCAGAGUUGCAGCUGCUUUUGCCAAGAAGCCUGGGUGUCUAAGUUUCUUGGGGCUCUGCAUGUGCCUGAGUGGCUGCUCUGCUGAGACUCCACAUAAUUCUGUGUGUCAGACUGAAGACCCUUGUGGAGUGAGUUCAUGAAGUGACCUCAGAGUGACCUUGGAAGCUACAUGCUGAAAUGCUGAAGAUGGCAGAGGUUCAGUGAGACAGGAUCCUUGAAGAUUUAAUAAAGCAGAGCCCUACCUGCCAAGACUUCUCUUUUGCAGAACCCAUUACGUGUUUGGGCCUAUUUGUUAUUGUAGCCUAGCCUGAAAUAAUUAAUACUAAUAAUAAAUAAAUGACUUCUAA